rfam:Oryza glaberrima chromosome 8 Oglab08_0060_1, whole genome shotgun sequence.
GCUAGGAACCUCCGUGCCAUUUCCAUGUCCAACCUUCCGUCUAAUUUAAAAUUAUUUUAUAAUUAAUACUUCUUUUAUUAUUAGAUGAUAAAAUAUGAAUUGUACUUUAUAUGUAUUUUAUUAUUUUAAUUAUUUCACAAAUUUUUCAUAUAAGACGGACGGCUAAAUAUUAGACACAGAAAAUUACAAUUGUGUUUAAA